rnacentral:lncRNA from 1 species
GCUGCCCUAAAAGCAAAAAAAAAUAAAAAAAUAAAAAAUAAAAAAAUAAAAAAAUAAAAAUCUGCUGCUAAUUGAUAGAGCAUGUUGAUGGAAAAUCUCUAAUGAUACAUAAGAUUGGAAAAAACUAUUGUUCAAGUUGAUCUAAUUCAUAUUUGUAGAAUAUUCAAGCCCAAAACAGAAGAAUAAACAUUCAUGCAAGUGUAUAAGGAACAUUUAUUGAGAUAGAUCAUAUUACAGUUCAUGAAGCAUGUAUAAAUAAAUUGAAAAGGAUUAAAGACAAUUUUUCUGACCACAAUGAAAUUAAACUAGAAAUCAAUAAAAGAAAGAUAUCUGGAAAAUCUUAAAAUAUUUGGAAAUGAAAUAGUACACUUCUAAACAGCCAGUGGGCUCAAUAAAAACCAAAGGAGAAAUUAAAAAUUUUUUGGACCCACUAAGGAAAAUUAAAAAGUAUGUGGACUAAAUAAAAAUGAAAACACAACAUAGAAGUAAAGAGAUUCACAAAAUGAAACAAAAAAAUCAAUAUUUUCUCCAUCCAAAGGUUUCUUUUUUUUUGCCUCAACAAAUAAACUAACAAAUUAACACAUAGUUUAAAAGUAAUGAGAAAAAUAUUCCAUUAAGAGGAUAGUAGUUCACAGAAAAGUGCCAAAAUCAAGAAUGUUUAGGAUCAAAUACAGUGGUGGGAGAGGACUUGGUUUUUAAUUGAGUAUGACAAUGGGAUUAAAUGCAAUAACUGACAUUUGGGAAAAUCCCAUAAAAUAUUUGUUGCUCUACGAGGAACAUAUUAGAAUAAAGAAAGUAAUGGUAAACAAGAAGUUGAACAAAGCACAGUGGAAGGUCAUAUAGGGAAUCCCUCAUUGAUACUUAAGUAUGUAAUACACUAAUAACCUCUUAAAAUUCAUUCAUUCACUCACAUAACUAAUAUAUUCUGAAUAACUACAGUCUUUGUUCAAAUAAACAAUCAAAUACAAGUAAUAAUUAAAAACAAAUCCUCAAAUGGCAUUAUCAUUACCAAACGUAGUGUGUAACAGAGGUUAUUCUAUCAGGUGGGGCAGAGCUGGUUCCAAAACUAGCCUUGAGUUGCUCAGUUUCAUUGAUACCACAUUCAAGAAUCCAAAGUGUCUAAUCCUGUUACUUCGAAAGUAAUUCCCAUGAGUUACAAAAUUAAAUCUUAGGUGUGCUUUAUACUUGUAGGGGUGUAGUCUUGGAUUUGGAAUGUCAGUUUCAGGGAAAAUAUAAUUUAUUCUUUAGAUUAGGAAUGAUGAAUUUUCAGAAAACAGUUUCAAUGGACAGAAGUAGAGACUGCAAAGACGUAUGUUGGAAAAUUUUAUCAACACAUUUGAAUAAGUAUCGAUAAUAGGGAAAUUCAGCAUUGAAUAUAGUUCAGGACAAAACAAAUUAACAUGUUGAAUGUAAAUUACAUUGUCCCAAGAGAAAUAUAACUAGAGUCAUUGUGGUACUUAUUAAAUUAAACAUAUAUCUCAGUGACUAUUUUGCAAAUAAAAACUGAAUAUAUAUUUCUGUGUGUGACCCUGUAUAUAUCUACUAGUGUUCCCUUAUAAUUAAUGUAUCUUAUUGUGCUUAAAUAAAUAUACAUGUAUUAUGUAUCUAUAUACAUUCAUAGAAUUUCUCUAUCUUAAAAAUGACUCAAUGCAUCAUGUAGAGUAUAACAGAAAAAAAUUCUAUUUAAGCAUCGCCAAUAUAACCAUAUUUAUUUAUUUUUUAUUUUUUGUCUUUUCUAGGGCCAUACUGCGGCAUAUGGAGUUUCCCAGGCUAGGGGUCUAAUCAGAGCUGUAGCCACUGGCCUACGCCAGAGCCACAGCAACGCAGGAUCCAAACUGCAUCUGUGACCUACACCACAGCUCAUAGCAAUGCCAGAUCCUUAACCCACUGAGCGAGGCCAGGGAUCGAACCUGCAACCCCAUGGUUCCUAGUAGGAUUUGUUAACCACUGAGCCACAACGGGAACUCCAAUAUUACCAUAUUUAAAAAACAACUUUUCAAAAUUAUUUAAGACUUCUCAUCAUACAGAUUCUCAGUUUUCAUUGCAGUAAGUCAAUUUUAAAGAUUUAGCAGAGAUAAGUUUAAAAGAUUCUUUACUGUCAAGGAAAUAUAAUUUGUAUCUUGCUUGUUUGUGUUCAACUCAAUCAUAUGCUUAAUGAGUAUUUCACUUAUGCCAAGAGUUUGCAUUGCAUGUUGACAAUCAUUGUAAAAUUGUUCCUUAUCAUUUAUAAGAUAUCAUUUCUUUUGCUUUUGUAAGCUUGUGAAAACAUUGACAGUUGAAUUUUACUAAUAGAUAUUAUACGGAAAUUCCCAGGCUGGGGAUCAAAUCUGAGCCACAGCUGCUACAAAUGUCACAGCUGUGGCAAUGCUGGAUCCUUAACCCGCUGCACCACAGUGGGAAAUCCACAGUGGGAACUCAAGCGUUUGGUUUCAAAGAAUUCUGCAAACAGCCAACAACAAAUUUAAACAAUUUUUAUAUAUAUUUAACAAUUUGGAUGGCCUCAGAAAUCUGAAGAAUGGAAUGCUUUAGUUAAUGAAAAGAUUAUAUGUAUUUACAUACAUACAUACUUUCUCAUUUAGGAAGGUGAUAUAAUAAACAAUGCUGACUAAAUUCAGAAUCUAGAUAAAUUUCAUAAAAAAAAUAACCAGUGGGUGCUUGGAUAUCUCUACUAUCGAGACGAUAAUAGGAAUAAUGCUAUUCUUUGGAGACCUAAAUCUAGUCAGUGCAAGAUUAUAGUAGGGUACUUUCAAUUAAUUUCAACCAACUGAAAGAAAUAGAUUCCAAACUUGUUUCCUUGAGAGUAGAUGUGUUUGUGUGUGCAUUUGCAAUUGUGAGAGAGAGAGAGGAAAAGGAGGAAGGAGGGAAGAGAAAGGAAGAUUUGACCAUUUGGGGGUAAGUGUUUAGGUGCAGUUGUAGAAUAUAGAUAAAUUUCUUUGUUAAUUCACUUUUAAUAUAUUCCCAGCAGCAUAUCAAAGUAUAGUUGACAACUCUGUUAAAUACAUCCAUACAACACCAAAGUCUAAAUGAAAAAGUAGACUUUUCAAAUAACACUAUGCCUUUUAAAUAUUUUAUUUCUUCAUAAUUCCCAGACAAAACACUCUAUACAACAAAUUAAUUUCUCUCAAAAUGUGGCACUUUUGCUGAAAUAUCUGACACCUGCUGGUAAUUAUAUAUUACUACAU